CCGAAAACGAGAAGAAAAGAAAGAAAAACAGCGGCAGAGAUUAAAAGUGAAUCAGAAAUUCUGAUGAUCACUAUGGUGUUCGAUUAAAGUGUUGAUGGUAUUAUGGAUUUCGAUCGGUGUUUGGUGAUUUAGAGUUUAAGAAGAAAUUGCAGAUGAAACUGAAGAGGGAACCGGAGCUGAAAUUGAUAUGGGUUUGUCGAGAUAAGAGGUUGAUGAUUAAGUUAUGGAUUAAUUGAAGAUGGGAGUUUGAGAGUUCUUGGAUGAUGAUAAGAGUUGGGUUGAGCUCGAUUUGCAACCAGAUAAAGAAAUCAAGUAGAAUUCAGUCUGGAAUUGAUGAAGAUGUUAGGGUUUGUGAUGGAAUUUAGGGUUCAGUCUGGAAUUGAUGAAGAAAUUGAGUUCAAAGAGGUAAUGGAGAAUAGCUAUGAGCUGCUGUAGACGGUGUUUCAGGUGCAGGUAAUGGAGAAGCUUAAGUAUGUGUACAUAUACGCAUGCCUUUUGAGGUACACCAAAUCAAGGUUUAGUGCAUAGCGACGGGGCGGGACAAAGCCGCGCCACACCAGAUCAGGGCUUAAUGCACAGCGAAGGGGCGUGGCGGGCCUCGCCACACCUUUUAGAGAUGACAUCAUGGAGUCUGCAAUCAAGGUUUAGUUGCAUCGAGUCGGGGCCGCCCGUAGCAGUUCAGUUACAUGCCAGUUUUGGUAAAAUAAAAGUUAGUAGGAGGGUUUGCAACUGGUCCUUAUGGAGGAAUGUUCGCUCAAAAUCAAAACGCCUUUGGUGGUUUUUCAGGGUAUGCAUUGCCAUGUGCUCCAUCUCAGACGAACAAAAGGAGCAGAGUUACAGCAUGUCAUGGGAAUGAUUGGAGUCACGUCGAUGAUGAGGAUGAAGAGAGAAAUUGUCAUAAGAAUAGAUCAUGCAGAUAGAAGCCUAUAUAUUCUAUAUAACAUUUUGGUUAUCUUCACAUCUCAUCAAUGCGGAAACAACUACUUAGCUUAAAAUUUAAAUCCUCAAAUUAGAUUGGAGUUGUUCUAAUGAGGUGCAUGGUUCAUACAAACCGCAUUUGGUUCCUUGGGGAUUAGGGACUUCUCUUUGCGAUAUAUUUGCAUGGCAACUAAUAAUCUUUAAUGGGGGUUUAGGAAGUGUGAUGAUGUUGCUUGACGUAAUGGGGGUUUAGGAAGUGUGAUGAUGUUGCUUGACGUAUGACAUAGUUCAUGAGUGUUGCAGAUGACGUCUUAAUACCGUUAAGAGCAUGAGCCUCGGCUAGCCUGUGCAAGAGUGCCAGCUUGGGCUUAAAUCUGUUUAUGCUUAUGAAUCGUAUGCGCUAAAGUGUCUGUAUAUUAAAUCCCAUGUAUAUUAAGAAACU